GACGAACGCUGGCGGCGUGCUUAACACAUGCAAGUCGAACGCGUGGCGAACGGGUGAGUAAUACGUGAGUAACCUGCCCUCUUUUUGGGAUAAGCCUUGGGAACGGGGUCUACUACCGGAUAAUGGGGGAUGGGCUCGCGGCCUAUCAGCUUGUUGGUGGGGUGAUGGCCUAACAAGGCGGUGCCGGGUAGCCGGGCUGAGGGGGGGAACGGGUACAUUGGGACUGAGAUACGGCCCAGAGGACUACGGGAGGGAGCAGUGGGGGAUAUUGCACAAUGGGAGAAAGCCGGAUGCAGCGACGCUGCGUGGGGGAUGAAGGCUGGCGGGUUGUAAACCUAGUGAGCUAUCGAAAGGGUAGGUGGAGAAGAAGCGCCGGCUAACUACGUGCCAGCAGCCGCGGUAAUAC
rnacentral:rRNA from 1 species